UACCCUACUGAUGCCCGCGUCG
rnacentral:sRNA from 1 species